rnacentral:rRNA from 1 species
GAUGAACGCUGGCGGCGUGCCUAAUACAUGCAAGUCGAGCGAACAGACGAGGAGCUUGCUCCUCUGACGUUAGCGGCGGACGGGUGAGUAACACGUGGAUAACCUACCUAUAAGACUGGGAUAACUUCGGGAAACCGGAGCUAAUACCGGAUAAUAUAUUGAACCGCAUGGUUCAAUAGUGAAAGACGGUUUUGCUGUCACUUAUAGAUGGAUCCGCGCCGCAUUAGCUAGUUGGUAAGGUAACGGCUUACCAAGGCCACGAUGCGUAGCCGACCUGAGAGGGUGAUCAGCCACACUGGAACUGAGACACGGUCCAGACUCCUACGGGAGGCAGCAGUAGGGAAUCUUGCGCAAUGGGCGAAAGCCUGACGGAGCAACGCCGCGUGAGUGAUGAAGGUCUUCGGAUCGUAAAACUCUGUUAUUAGGGAAGAACAAAUGUGUAAGUAACUAUGCACGUCUUGACGGUACCUAAUCAGAAAGCCACGGCUAACUACGUG